ensembl:lncRNA BDNF-AS BDNF antisense RNA
AUCGCGAGAUCAGGAAGGUGGCCGAGUGUGUCGCCGCGGCCAUCAGGCACUUCUCCUUCCUGCCCUUGUAUGAAGAAGGAUGUGUUUGCUUCCCCUUGUGCCAUGAUUGUAAAUUUCCUGAGGCCUCCUCAGCCCUGCAGAACUGGGGUUAUAGCCAUGUGACUGAUCUUCGUCCAAGAAUAUGUAAAGAAAAAGUGUUGAGUUGGCUUUUAGGGCUAGAGCAAUGUAUCUUAGGCUCACUUAAGGAAGCUGUAGAGAUGAGCCCAAGGAGGGAAACCAGAAGAGCCCCCCAGGCUCACCAGUUGUUUGUUGGCUCCCUACAAACAUGUCAUUCAAGUGGCUAAUCUUACAACAGCACAAAUUCAUCUAACCAGAAAGAGAAGAGGAGGCUCCAAAGGCACUUGACUACUGAGCAUCACCCUGGACGUGUACAAGUCUGCGUCCUUAUUGUUUUCUUCAUUGGGCCGAACUUUCUGGUCCUCAUCCAACAGCUCUUCUAUCACGUGUUCGAAAGUGUCAGCCAAUGAUGUCAAGCCUCUUGAACCUGCCUUGGGCCCAUUCACGCUCUCCAGAGUCCCAUGGGUCCGCACACCUGGAGAUACUCUAUUAUAGCAAAGAAGAAAGAUAAUUUCAUUGAGCCAUCCUGUUUUACAGUUUCAGUGACCCACUCUGUAAUAAAGAACUUGGAAAGGGAGGUUCCAAGAUGGCCAAAUAUGAACAGCUCCAGUCUACAGCCCCCAGCGUGAGUGAUGCAGAAGACGGGUGAUUUCUGCAUUUCCAACUGAGGAAAUUCUGCAAGUGGCAACGUGGGUCCAUUCCGUGUGUGUCACUAGAGCUGGCGCAAGCCCAUGGCCAUGGUGAGGCAGCGUUUCCACUGGAACUAAUCUGAUACCUGCACCAGCUCUUGCAACUGUGCAGUGUUCCCACUGCAAACUACGGAUGGGGUAAAAGACUGCUCACCUCCUAUUUCUCAUCUAAUCUCACACACUCUGUUUGAUGAGGCUAUGGAGAAACAGGUCUUCUCAUACACUAAAGGUGGGAGUACAAACAAUUCAAGCCCUGUGCAGGACAAUUAGGCAAUACCUAUCAAAAUUAUACAUGAUUUUUCCUGCUGACCCAGCAAUUCCACUUCUGGGAAUAAUUGACAGAUAUAGGUGCAUAUGUACAAAAUGAUGGAAAGCUCUCUGGUAUAUAUUAGUAAGUGAUAAAACAAGGUGUAAAAUAGUGUAUAUAUGGCUACUACCUUUUGUUUUAAAAAUGGGGGAAAAUGGUGGAGCUUGCGGUGAGCCGAGAUCGUGCCACUGCACUCCAGCCUGGGCGACAGAGCGAGACUCCGUCUCAAAAAAAAAACAGGGUGGGGUGGGGGGGAAAUAAUAGUACAUACUCAUAUUUACCUGUAUCUAUAUAAAACACACUAUCAAGGAUUCACAAGAAACUAAUACAAAUGAUCACCUUAUAGAUGGUAUGUAUUGGGGGAUACUGAGGUGAGCAGGGUAUAAGUGGGGCAAGACUUUUCAGUGUAAACUUCUUUUAAAUUUUAUUUUGAUUUUUGAAUAAUGUAAAUUAACUGUCAAAUAAUUAAAUUAAAAAUAACCAAUUUAUUAACAAAA